AGGGUACAGCUCAGUGUUAGAGCAUGUGCUUAGCAUGCACGAGGUCCUGGGUUCAAUCCCCAGUACCUCUA
rnacentral:tRNA from 1 species